UGAAGUUUAUUAUUAAAAUAAAUUUUAUUAUUACAUGAAGUUUAUUAUUAAACAAAUAAACAAUUAAACAUGUUUAAACAAACAAUUUUAGUUCCCAGUACUAAAAUAAAGUUUUCAAGUUCAAUAUAAGCAGAAAAUCAGCUAUGGCAGAUCCAACGUACAUUAAAUUACAUGAACUUAGUAUAAAACACUAAGAUCAAGCUAAAUAUAAGUAGAAAAUCAAAUACAGUUCAAGCUAAAUACUGAAAUGCUCAAUUCUGGUAGAUCAAACAACUAAAUUACAUGAACUCAGUUCAGAUUACAUGGCUUAUAUAAAACAAUUAAACAUGUACAUGAAGAUGCCCUUCUUCUUUUCCUGGUGGGAUUCACAUUUGUUUGUCCAUUAUUAACGAUACGAAACGAUGGAUUAACCCAAAUUCCCUCAUCAUGAUCAUCUCUAAGAUAUAAACCAUCAUCAGUUGAGUCAAUUUCAUGUGGUUGUGAUGUUGCAAAUAAAAGAUCAUUACCAACAUCUUCAUCGUUAUUGUUAUCAUCACUUAUUUUAUUGGUCGAUAGAACAACAUACCAUUUAUCAUUAGCAGGAUCAGUGACAUAAAACACUUGUUGAGCUUGCGACGCUAAAAUAAAAGGCUCGUUUUUGUAUCCCACCCUAUUAAAAUCGAUAAGCAAGAACCCUGACUCAUCAAUCCGAACGCCAUUAUUAUUAUCGACCCACUAGCAACCAAAUAUAGGAACAUGAAACAUUGUGUAGUCUAACUCCCAUAUGCGCUCGAUAACCCCAAAAUAUGAUAGAUUUGCAUAUAUUGGGUUUUUGUCUUUUGCACUUGAGACAUGCAUCGCUUCAGCUACGAGAGUGACUCCGCUAUUUUGCAUAGUGAUCUGAUCAUCUUGUUCUUUGGUAUAAAAUGUGUAGCCGUUAAUAACAUAACCAAUGUAAGAAAAGACAUGUAAACUCAGACCAUUUGCUAGCCACCUCAAUCUCUGUGAAAUUGAUCCGGGGUCUAUAUCAAAUUUUGACUUUAUGUGAUUUUUUAACCAUGUUAUAAAACUUCGAUUGUGCUCCGAGUUAUCCAAUUUUGAUUCCUAUUCAUGUUCAAACGAGAUAACUGAUCCAUGUGUAUUGUAACAUACGGUUGAACCUGAUCAUUGUGCAAAACAUACAAUUGUGCCUGCUCCCAUUUUGUCCUUGAUAUAGUCAUUAUUGUCCUUCCAAUUAUCCCUUCUCCUGAUUUUCUUCCCGAAUGAAGAGACAUGGGAAGCCCUAUGGGUUCAACAUUGGGCAGAUAUUCAGUACAAAAUUCAGCAGCUUCUUCAACAAUGUACCGAUCAACAAUACAACCUUCUGGUCGACUUCUACUUUUUACGUACCCUUUUAAUAUUUUCAUAUAUCGUUAUAUCGGAUACAUCCAUCUCAUAUAAGCUGGCCCACAAAGUUGUGUCUCCUUAACCAGAUGAACAGUAAGGUGAACCAUUAUAUAAAAAAUGAGGGUGGGAAACACAUUUCAAGCUCACACAAAGUAACAACAAUUUCCCUCUGCAAUGUCGGUAAUUUCUGAGG
rnacentral:lncRNA from 1 species